UACUCGAGUGGCGAACGGGUGAGUAACACGUGGGUGAUCUGCCCUGCACUUCGGGAUAAGCCUGGGAAACUGGGUCUAAUACCGGAUAGGAGCCAUUUUUAGUGUGAUGGUUGGAAAGUUUUUUCGGUGUAGGAUGAGCUCGCGGCCUAUCAGCUUGUUGGUGGGGUAACGGCCUACCAAGGCGGCGACGGGUAGCCGGCCUGAGAGGGUGGACGGCCACAUUGGGACUGAGAUACGGCCCAG
rnacentral:rRNA from 1 species